rnacentral:rRNA from 1 species
GACGAACGCUGGCGGCGUGCUUAACACAUGCAAGUCGAACGGAAAGGCCCUGCUUUUGUGGGGUGCUCGAGUGGCGAACGGGUGAGUAACACGUGUGUAACCUGCCCUUGUCUUUGGGAUAACUUCAGGAAACUGGGGCUCAUACCGCAUAGGAGCUCCUGCUGCAUGGUGGUGGUUGGUAAGUUUCGGCGGUUGGGGAUGGACUCGCGGCUUAUCAGCUUGUUGGUGGGGUAGUGGCUUACCAAGGCUUUGACGGGUAGCCGGCCUGAGAGGGUGACCGGCGUCAAUGGUACUGAGAGAGGGCCCAGACUGGUACGGGAGGCAGUAGUGGGGAAUAUGGCACAAUGGGGGGAAGCCUGAGGCAGCAACGCCGCGUGCGGGAUGCCGGCCUAUGGGGUGUAAACCGCUUUCGACUGUGACGAAGCGGGAGUGACGGUAAUGGGUAAAGAAGCACCGGCUAACUACGUG